rnacentral:rRNA from 1 species
UACGAAGGGGGCUAGCGUUGUUCGGAAUUACUGGGCGUAAAGCGCACGUAGGCGGACAUUUAAGUCAGGGGUGAAAUCCCGGGGCUCAACCCCGGAACGGCCUUUGAUACUGGGUGUCUUGAGUUCGGAAGAGGUGAGUGGAAUUGCGAGUGUAGAGGUGAAAUUCGUAGAUAUUCGCAGGAACACCAGUGGCGAAGGCGGCUCACUGGUCCGAUACUGACGCUGAGGUGCGAAAGCGUGGGGAGCAAACAGGGAU